rnacentral:snRNA from 1 species
GUGCCUGCUUCAGCAGCACAUAUACUAAAAUUGAAUGAUAAAGAGAAGAUCAGAAUGGCCCCUGUGCGAGGAUGACAUGCAAAUUUGUGAAGCGUUCCAUAUUUUU